rnacentral:piRNA from 1 species
UUGAAUUCUUGGGCUAACUUGUGGUCA